CUCCUCAGACUCUACAGUACCAGCACUCCUAGCUAUCUUCGAGACACCACUGACUUUCUGAGGAAACUAUAAUCCUUUGGUGAUCUUCCAGAAAACAUCAUCCUAGCCACUAUGGAUGUAGAAGCCCUCUACACCAACAUUCCACACAAAGAUGGACUACAAGCCAUCCGGACUAGCAUCCCCGAUACCAUCACAGCAAACCUGGUGGCUGAACUUUGUGACUUUGUCCUCACCUACAACUAUUUCAGAUUUGGAGACAGUUUAUACCUUCAAGUAAGCGGGACUGCUAUGGGUACCCGCAUGGCCCCACAGUAUGCCAACAUUUUUAUGGCUGACUUAGAACAACGCUUCCUCAGCUCUCAUCCCUUAUACCGCCCAUGUUCU